rnacentral:rRNA from 1 species
GACGAACGCUGGCGGCGUGCUUAACACAUGCAAGUCGAACGGAAAGGCCCUGCUUUUGUGGGGUGCUCGAGUGGCGAACGGGUGAGUAACACGUGAGUAACCUGCCCUUGACUUUGGGAUAACUUCAGGAAACUGGGGCUAAUACCGGAUAGGAGUUCCUGCGGCAUGGUGGGGGUUGGAAAGUUUCGGCGGUUGGGGAUGGACUCGCGGUUUAUCAGCUUGUUGGUGGGGUAGUGGCUUACCAAGGCUUUGACGGGUAGCCGGCCUGAGAGGGUGACCGGCCACUUUGGGACUGAGAUACGGCACAGACUCACACGGGAGGCAGAAGUGGGGAAUUGUGCACUAGGGGCGGAAGCCAUAUGCAGCAACGCCGCGUGCGGUGUGACGGCCUUCGGGUUAUAAACCGCUUUCGCCUGUGACGAAGCGUGAGUGACGGUAAUGGGUAAAGAAGCACCGGCUAACUACGUG